rnacentral:lncRNA from 1 species
AGGGCAAUGAGAGAGUACGACUUAUUGUUUUUUUUUUUCAGCAAACAAAGAUUUACUUGUAUAUUUCUUCUAAGUGGAAAUGGAGAUUUUUUUUUUUUAACGGAUUAGUCUGCUAUAUGGUAUGAGUUGUUGUCAUAUAGAUAUGGUAGACUUAACGUUUGUGGAGAUGAUUACAUAGUGCCUACAAGUUCUUCUGCGUGGUGGAAGGAUAGAAAUCAGCAUUGGUGUAGAUGAUGGAUGGUUUGCUAAUUGUUUGAGGAUACUUUGUUCUGGACAGAUAGAUGGUUAGGAGAGGAUUGUCUAAAAAAUGAAUUCCCUCAGUUAUACCAGAUUUCUCAACAGAAAUCUUGCUCGUUUGCUGAUAUGGGGGUUUGGGGGGAGGAUGGUUAGAGGUGGAAUUGGCAAUGGAGACGUUGGGUCAUUUGUUUGGGAAGAUUUGCGUUUGACUCGUUUGGUUCAGAAGCU